AUGGAUAGAUUCAAGUUGAUUAAGGAAGUUGGUGAUGGGACAUUCGGGAGCGUAUGGCGCGCUAUAAAUAAACAAAAUGGUGAAGUUGUGGCUGUUAAGAAAAUGAAAAGAAAAUAUUAUUCUUUCGAGGAAUGUAUGAGUUUACGUGAAGUAAAGUCUUUGCGGCGCAUGAAUCACCCUAACAUAGUGAAGCUCAAGGAGGUCAUAAGGGAAAAUGAUAUAUUAUACUUCAUAAUGGAAUACAUGGAGUGCAAUCUGUACCAACUUAUGAAAGACAGAGUCAAGCCUUUCGCGGAGUCAGAUGUCCGUAAUUGGUGCUUUCAGAUUUUCCAGGCUCUUGCUUAUAUGCACCAGAGGGGAUACUUUCAUCGUGACCUCAAACCAGAGAAUCUGCUGGUCAGCAAAGAUGUCCUAAAGCUAGCAGACUUUGGUCUAGCGAGAGAAAUUUCAUCUGCACCACCAUACACAGAAUAUGUGUCAACACGCUGGUACCGAGCACCUGAAGUAUUGCUCCAGUCAUCUGCUUAUGAUUCUGCAGUUGAUAUGUGGGCAAUGGGUGCCAUAAUGGCCGAGCUGUUGACACUCCAUCCUCUUUUCCCUGGCACAAGUGAAGCGGAUGAGAUUCUCAAGAUUUGCAACGUUAUUGGUUGCCCAGACGAGCAAACAUGGCCCCAGGGAUUGUCUCUUGCAGAGGCGAUGAAGUAUCAGUUCCCACAGAUCAGAGGCAAUCAACUGUCGGAGGUAAUGAAAUCAGCCAGUAGUGAGGCAGUUGACCUUAUAUCCUCUCUGUGCUCAUGGGAUCCUUGCAAGAGACCAAAAGCCGCGGAAGUUCUCCAACAUGCCUUCUUUAAGGAUUGUACUUAUGUUCCAGCUGCUGUCCGGCCAAAAGCUGCAGGUCCCCCUAAAACUCCUCCGGGUGUUGGAGUAAGAGGAGUUUCAGGACACAUUGCUCGGAGAUACUCCACUGGAGCUCUCUCCACAAGCAAACCUGCUGCAAACAUAUCUAUAAAACCGAGCAGCUUAUCUAAGAUCGGUGUGCAAAGAAAACUUCAAUUGGAUCGUCAGGCACCACAGAAGAGUACACGGCCCACUGAGAGUAACACCAAACAAACUACUAGUCGAGUACUGGCAAGGAAUAGCCCAGGGAACGCGAACCCGAUAUUAAGGCAUUCACGCAGUUUACCUGAAACUGGCCGGGCAACGGUUCAGAAGGUUUCGAGUAUCACCGAAAAGCUUGCUCAUAUGUCUGUGACCUCUCGAACACGCACGGCUGUGAAGCCCCCUGUCCCGCUGUUGAAGGCUGGGCAUCUCAAGUCAGACUUCCUCGGGAAAUCUGACGAAAUCCCUCCGGCAAAGAGAUUGACAAGAAAGUUGGUGAGCUAA
rnacentral:rRNA from 1 species